UCCUUUGUGUUCCUAUGGGUUUACAUGCACUUCUAGUAUGGGAACCAUCAGCAAGUCCAUCAAAUUUUGUUGCCCUUCUAGUGGAAGUUCCCGGCUGAGCCUGAUUCGCUAGGAAGUGGCUCCACCACUGGUGGCAAUGAAGUGUGUGGUGCAUACUAGACGAUUUCUCUCAGGAAGUUACUUAGCGGCAAACCCAUAGCAGCAACUUGGCCCGCAACGGAAAUUGCAGCAGCUCCCAAACCUGCAGCCACUACCAAACCUGGUAUGUGCAGUUAAACAAGAGUAUAGAAAAGCAGGUGU